UUAGAGUUUGAUCCUGGCUCAGAUUGAACGCUGGCGGCAUGCCUUACACAUGCAAGUCGAACGGCAGCACGGACUUCGGUCUGGUGGCGAGUGGCGAACGGGUGAGUAAUACAUCGGAACAUGCCUAGUAGUGGGGGAUAACUACUCGAAAGAGUGGCUAAUACCGCAUGAGAUCCACGGAUGAAAGCAGGGGAUCGCAAGACCUUGUGCUACUAGAGCGGCCGAUGGCAGAUUAGGUAGUUGGUGGGAUAAAAGCUUACCAAGCCAACGAUCUGUAGCUGGUCUGAGAGGACGAUCAGCCACACUGGGACUGAGACACGGCCCAGACUCCUACGGGAGGCAGCAGUAGGGAAUCUUCGGCAAUGGGCGAAAGCCUGACAGAGCAACGCCGCGUGAAUGAUGAAGGCCUUCGGGUUGUAAAAUUCUGUUAUAAGGGAAGAACGACUCUAGUAGGAAAUGGCUAGAGUGUGACGGUACCUUAUGAGAAAGCCACGGCUAACUACGUGCCAGCAGCCGCGGUAAUACGUAGGUGGCGAGCGUUAUCCGGAAUUAUUGGGCGUAAAGAGCGCGCAGGUGGUUGAUUAAGUCUGAUGUGAAAGCCCACGGCUUAACCGUGGAGGGUCAUUGGAAACUGGUCAACUUGAGUGCAGAAGAGGGAAGUGGAAUUCCAUGUGUAGCGGUGAAAUGCGUAGAGAUAUGGAGGAACACCAGUGGCGAAGGCGGCUUCCUGGUCUGUAACUGACACUGAGGCGCGAAAGCGUGGGGAGCAAACCAGGAUUAGAUACCCUGGUAGUCCACGCCGUAAA
rnacentral:rRNA from 1 species